rnacentral:misc_RNA from 1 species
ACCUACUGUUUAAUUUUGAGGGUUCGUUUUUACGAAUACUCAAAAUUAGCACUUUAAGCAACGGGAUUUAUCCGUUGGCGCCGUGCUUUAGCACUUUAAGCAACAGAAUAAACUGAACGCAUGUGAAGUUUGUUUGUUGGCGCUGUGCGUUAGCACUUUAAGCAACGGAAUUUAUUCGUUGGCGACGUGCUUUAGCACUUUGAAAACUGCAUAUAUAUAUUUAGUGAUAUGACAUCUAAUUUGUAAUAUAUAAAGCUGAUAACUUUUAAAAUUAUCGAAGUUGAUAGCUUCUAAUCUAUCAAACCUUUUUAACUGGUCAA